ACGGCCGCGGUAUUCUGACCGUGCGAGGUAGCGUAAUCACUUGUCUUUUAAAUAGAGACUGGAAUGAAUGACUAAACGAGGCUCUAUCUGUCUCCUACAGGCGAUCAGUGAAAUUGAUCUCCUCGUGCAAAAGCGAGAAUGGUAACAUAAGACGAGAAGACCCUGUGGAACUUUAAAUAACAGCUAAUAGCCAUAAGCCCACUAAACCGAUAGGACCACUACUAUGGCCACUCUUAGCUCUAUUUUCGGUUGGGGUGACCUCGGAGAAAAACGCAACCUCCGAAGACCUAUACUAAGAACAACAAACCAAAGUGCCUCCGGCUAAACGAUCCAAUAUAUUUGAUUAAUGAACACAAGCUACCCCAGGGGAUAACAGCGCAAUCYCCCUCUUGAGAGUCCAUAUACAACGAUGGGGGGUUACGACCUCGAUGUUGGAUCAGGACAUCCUAAUG
rnacentral:rRNA from 1 species